ensembl:lncRNA
CUAAAAUAGGGAUGGCUUCAUGAUUGCUGUCUGUAACCCCACAGGAAUGAGGUCAUUAAUUUCAACAUUGUUUAGGGGAAGGAUGCUUUAUAUCUGGUGACUAGCUUAGGUAGGGACAAGCAAAGUAAAAUUAGAAAUUGUAAUUAAAAAAACACAAAAUGCAUAAUUUAUUUCUUCAAUGUUAUACUUUAUUCUUUUUAAAUCUUAGUACCUGACAAAUAGUUCUUUUUCUCCCCUCCCUCAGCUUUCAGUGCCAAUUAAAGAAAACAUCCCAGGAUGUGUAUUAUUGUGUUCUAAUUAUAGUUGAGGGUACAGUGGCAUGUGAUUGUGGUAUAAUAACUAAGCCCUGGAGUGUCUUUUAUUCCAUUAAAAAUGACCUUAGCCUUGGAUCACAGAGCUUUGCAUUGAUUUGUCUUUUUUGUGGUUUCCUCUCCACAGGUCUGCUUCCUCAACCAGGAUGAUGCAUUGAAUUGUGACACACAGAGAAAUUAACUAUCUUUCCCAUGAGAAAUAAUUUAUCAUUCAGCAUUUGCUAUUAAUGUGCCUCUGCUGCAAGUGAAUGAAGCCAUAUAAAGUGUAUGGAAACUAUGCAGUAGAUGAACACUGCGUAAAUAUCCUUUAAUGUUUAUUAUGGGCACAAUAAUUUUAUCAUCAGUAAAUGGGAGGGAUUUGGGCUGCAGAAAAAGAGAUGUUGAUAAGUUUUGUUGCUAUAAAAAAUGGCUGCAAUAUCUUCAAUAGAUGCAAUACCUCUUUAGGUCUAAUACAAAUUUUGUUUUUUGCCUGUUUCAAUGAGGUCCUUUAAAACUUAUAAUUACUACUGGAUCUGAUUGUGUCUGCAGAAAGACUUCCCAGCCUUCUUUAGAACUGAGGAGGUACCUCAGUUCUCAGCCUAGACAAUAUUAACACAUUAUCUCUGGACUGUAUUUCUAUUUGAGAAACAAGAACUAGAAGGGACAAGGUUCAGGGCCUUUCAUGGGAUUUUAUUGUUUGGAAUCCAACAAAAACAUAGUUGAGAUGAGGUCUUGGAAGGUGGCUUGUCAAGAUGUAUGUCUGCACCAUUUUACUCUUACAACUAUGCCUAUGCACACAGUUUACCACAGAGGAAGUAUUGGUGAGCAUAAGAGUGGGCAGCACAAUGGAAGCCCUCCUGAGUGCAGGACCUGCCACUUGUCCAGGGAGCCAUGACUGGGGAUGUAUUUGACCCCACGGCCACAGUAAGGAAAACAGUCUGGUCCCUGGGCCUUGCAACACGGAUUGAAACGGCAACAUUUCACAGAGAUGUCAAAACAGGAAGAACUUCUGGCAUAAUUAGCACUGAUAAUAGCAUAAAAAAAUACUAGCUAGUCUUUCUAAUGAAGAAUCCUGUUAAAGGACAAUCCAUAUCAAGUUUGAUUGUAAGACUGAUGAUGUAGGUCUGUCUGACCAUAUUUGCUGCUUGCAUAUUAAAUUUCCUAAGCUCAUUAAUCUGUAACUGUGAAUGGAGUUUUUUUUUUUUUUUCACUGAGACAGAGUUUCGCCCUUGUUACAGGCUGGAGUGCAAUGGUGCGAUCUCGGCUCACCUCAACCUCCACCUCCUGGGUUCAGGCAAUUCUCCUGCCUCAGCCUCCUGAGUAGCUGGGAUUACAGGCACGCGCCACCAUGCCCAGCUAAUGUUUUGUAUUUUUAGUAGAGACGGGGUUUCACCAUGUUGACCAGGAUGGUCUUGAUCUCUUGACCUCGUGAUCCACCCGCCUCAGCCUCCCAAAGUGCUGGGAUUACAAGCGUUAGCCACGGUGCCUGGCCUGGAGUUAUUUUUUAUGUGGUCAGAUGCUUCAAAUAAACACACCUAUCAAUGAAAUCUUAGGCUAUUACACUUAUAGGAUAUUCAACAGUAGAGUAGUGAUGCUUUAUAUCAUGUCCAUAGGUGAGAAUGUAGCCCCUAUAAAAGAUCCUCUGUGUUGCUACAGUAUCUUUUUAAACUUAGCUGUUUGGUGCUGAUCAUUUAAAUGCACUCACACAGAUGUAAAAGUAAACAGUGUGGUCAGAAGAAAAUGGUUUUGCCCACGAUGAAGGCAACUGAAUCUACCUUUAACUUUCCUAUAACUAGCUGUGUAAAUAUAGGGAAGAUCAUCUAGCCUUUCUUCAUCUUUAAACUUAGAACUUCAUGCUGAUCAGAACAGUUUUAAAGAUAAAUGAGACAAUAUAGAAGAAAACAGAUUGAAAAGUUUAAAACUAUAAAAGCUAAUCUGUUGAUUACAAAUAUUAUACAAAUAAUACGUUGGAUGGUUCCUAGAUUGUCCUGUGUGACUUUAGGAUGUUGUCAGUCUUCCACAUGUUCUGAGUAACG